UACAGAGGUCCCAAGCGUUGUUCGGAUUCAUUGGGCGUAAAGGGCGCGUAGGCGGUGCGGUAAGUCACCUGUGAAAACUCUGGGCUCAACUCAGAGCCUGCAGGCGAAACUGCCGGUGCUUGAGUGUGGGAGAGGUGCGUGGAAUUCCCGGUGUAGCGGUGAAAUGCGUAGAUAUCAGGAGGAAUACCGAUGGCGAAGGCAGGUCGUCU
rnacentral:rRNA from 1 species